rnacentral:rRNA from 1 species
UACAGAGGGUGCAAGCGUUAAUCGGAAUUACUGGGCGUAAAGCGUGCGUAGACGGUAGCGUAAGUCGGGUGUGAAAUCCCCGGGCUCAACCUGGGAACUGCAUUUGUGACUGUAGAGCUGGAGUACGGCAGAGGGGGAUGGAAUUCCGCGUGUAGCAGUGAAAUGCGUAGAUAUGCGGAGGAACACCGAUGGCGAAGGCAAUCCCCUGGGCCUGUACUGACGCUCAUGCACGAAAGCGUGGGGAGCAAACAGG